AGAGUUUGAUCCUGGCUCAGGACGAACGCUGGCGGCGUGCCUAACACAUGCAAGUCGAACGGACCGCGGAGGGCUUGCUCUCCAAGGUUAGUGGCGAACGGGUGCGUAACACGUGAGAAACGUACCCACCGGUGGGGGAUAGCCGGCCCAACGGCCGGGUAAUACCGCAUGCGACGCCUUUCGGGCAUCCGAAGGGCGGGAAAGCAGCAAUGCGCCGGUGGAGCGUCUCGCGGCCUAUCAGCUUGUUGGUGAGGUAAUGGCUUACCAAGGCUACAACGGGUAGCUGGUCUGAGAGGAUGAUCAGCCACAUUGGGACUGAGACACGGCCCAGACUCCUACGGGAGGCAGCAGUGGGGAAUAUUGCGCAAUGGCCGAAAGGCUGACGCAGCGACGCCGCGUGCGGGAUGAAGGCCCUCGGGUCGUAAACCGCUGUCACGAGGGACGAAACUCUGACGGUACCUCCAGAGGAAGCACCGGCUAACUCCGUGCCAGCAGCCGCGGUAAUACGGAGGGUGCGAGCGUUGUCCGGAAUCACUGGGCGUAAAGGGCGCGUAGGCGGCGCAGUAAGUAGGGGGUGAAAUCUCACGGCUCAACCGUGAAACUGCCUCCUAAACUGCUGUGCUUGAGCACGGUAGAUGCAGAUGGAAUUCCCGGUGUAGCGGUGGAAUGCGUAGAUAUCGAGAAGAACACCAAUGUCCA
rnacentral:rRNA from 1 species